UCUUUCUUCUAUCUUACCUGAAUCCUUUUCAACAUCAAGCCCAUCUCUUACUUCAUCAAGGGCACCUUUUGAAUUGUCAUCUCCAACCUCUUCUCUUCCCAGUGCGACCUCUUCCUUCUCUGAAAUCCCCUCCACCUCAAUUCAUCCCAUGCAAACUAGAGCCAAAGCAAAUAAAACUUACCCUAGAAUAAGAACUGACUGCACCAUUCCAUGGCCUCUACCGCGUGCCCAUGCGACUUCCACUGCUGUUUCUAAGGAACCCACCUCUAUUACUCCAGCUUCCAAAUAUCUCAAAUGGAGGCAUGUGAUGCAGCUUGAAUUUGAUGCUUUUAUGUUCACCAACACCUGGUCGUGGGUUCCUCUUGCCUCUAAUCAAAAUAUUGUUGGCUGUUGAUGGAUCUUUAAGACCAAGCACCUGUCCAAUGGUUCCAUCGAACGAAGAAAAGAGAGACUGGUAGCUAAGGACUAUAGUCAACUUGAAGGCUUGGACUACAAUGAAACAUUUAGUCUUUUGAUCAAGCCAACUUCCAUUAGCUGCAUACACCGAUGCAGACUGGACAUGGUGCCUCGAUGAUAGGAAGUCGACUAGUGGCUAUUGUGUCUUUUAUGACAAAAGGUUGGUCUCAUGGAGCUCAAAGAAGCAAUCUAUUAUAGCCCAAUCAAGUACUGAGGCAGAAUACAAGGCUCUUAUUCAUGCCACUUAUGAAUUACUGUGGCUACAAUCUCUCUUGUCUGAAUUAAGAAUUUUCAAAACCCCCUACCCUCUACUGUGACAAUUAGGGACAACUUACCUAUCCAUGAAUCCUGUGAUGCAUUCUCAUACCAAACAUAAUGAUAUUGAAUAUCAUUUUGUAAGGCACCAAAUUCAAGAAAAAGCUCUUCAAGUUUCAUUUCUCUCAAGCAAGGAUCAGCUUGCUGAUAUAUUUACAAAGCCCUUAUCCACUUUCACAUUUUCAACACUUAGAUCAAGCCUCACUGUUCUUCCAGGCAUGCUUGGCUCGCAGGGGCGUAUCAACAAUACAAUUACCACACAUGAUCAGCACUCAAAGGAUACCUCAUCAGGAAAUACUGAAGAUGUGCCAAGCCAGAAUGUUCCAGAAUGAAUCUUUGUUAUACAAGUGUCAUGCUUUUAGUGAUAAAAUCUGUUAUAAAAAGAAUAUUAUGUUUUAUGUGUAUAAAUAGCAGCAUGUACCGAAUACAAAAACAAUGAAGAGAACAAACAUUCCCAUUCAA